rnacentral:rRNA from 1 species
GGGUGCAAUCAUACCAGCUUUAAUGCAUCAGAUCCCAUCAAAACUCUAGGGUUAAGCACACUUGGGCUAGAGUAGUACUAUGAUGGGUGACCUCCUGGGAAUUCCUAGUGUUGCGCCCU